GCCGGUAUAGUAUAGUGGUAAUACAAAGCAAUGGUAAUGCUUAGCGCUCAGUUCAAUUCUGGGUACCGGCACCA
rnacentral:tRNA from 6 species